GGGUCUUUGGUGUAGCGGGAGCACUGUUGGCUUUUACCCUUCAAGCACGGGUUCGAUCCCCGUAGGACCCAC
rnacentral:tRNA from 1 species